UAAGCAACAACAAAGUCAUACAUUUUCUUGAUUUAAAAUCAAAAUGUAGGAUUCCCAACAGCGAAUUGGUCAAUUAUCUUAAAAUUAGUGCAUCUCUCUUGAAAAAUGUAUUAUGCAUACUUGAAUAACAUUAACUCCAGAGAACCUCUUGACUCUAGAGAACCUCGGGCAAAUCGCACAUUUCCGUGACGGCGACUUUGCAUUCGGAUGUCAUCCAUACCUACCAUGGUGACCACGGGUAACGGGAAUCAGGGUUCCAUUCCGUACAGGGAACCUGAGAAAUGGCUACCACAUGCAAGGAAGGCAGCAGGCGCUCAAAUGACCCACUCCCGACACGGGAAGGUAGUGAUGGCAAAUAAUAAUACAGGACUCUUUAGAGGCCCUGUAAUUGUAAUAAGUCCACUUGAAAUCCUUUAACUCUGAUCAAUUGGAGGGAAGUCUGGUGCAGAGCCACUGACCCAUGCGUGCUGCAGCUGAAACUCCACU